GACGAACGCUGGCGGCGUGCUUAACACAUGCAAGUCGAACGAGAAUCUGUGGAAAGAGGAUUCGUCCAAUUGAAGCAGAGGACAGUGGCGGACGGGUGAGUAACGCGUGAGGAACCUGCCUUUCAGAGGGGGACAACAGUUGGAAACGACUGCUAAUACCGCAUAACAUAUAGAUGUCGCAUGGCAUUUAUAUCAAAGAUUUAUCGCUGAAAGAUGGCCUCGCGUCUGAUUAGCUAGUUGGUGAGGUAACGGCCCACCAAGGCGACGAUCAGUAGCCGGACUGAGAGGUUGAACGGCCACAUUGGGACUGAGAUACGGCCCAGACUCCUACGGGAGGCAGCAGUGGGAAUAUUGGGCAAUGGGCGCAAGCCUGACCCAGCAACGCCGCGUGAAGGAAGAAGGCUUUCGGGUGUAAACUUCUUUGUCAGGGACGAGUAGAAGACGGUACCUGACGAAUAAGCCACGGCUAACUACGUGCCAGCAGCCG
rnacentral:rRNA from 1 species